CAACCUGUGACUAGCAAGCAACUCACUGUACUUUGGUACCGGACUACCUGAAUUUCUAAUUCAGUGACGGAAGGUCACUGGGUGCAGUCAAGUACUUGCGUAGUCAGUUGUGAGUCAAGAUGGAAUUGACCCCUCCUGAAAACAGGAGAUAAUGUCUUGUGAUUAAUUUAGCAAAACCUUGGCCAGGGUAAUCUCAGUGAGGAGUCACGGGAUAUCUAAAGUUAAUCACAUAAUGGAUGUACUAAUUAUAGGGUUGACAGUGAGCUCUAAGUCAUCCUGGCAUUAGGAGUCAAAGGGAUUGAAUUAUACAGUAACCAUAGUUCAG
rnacentral:lncRNA from 1 species